AUUAGACACAACCAUUAAACUGAAUUUUUACAAUGUAAUAUUAUAACAUUGGUUUUAUAAUGAGAUGUUUGUAGGUGGCGAUAACCUUGGUGGGUGGUGGUUUAUUCUGUGGCUCAAUUGUUUAUUUAGGUGGAUCAGCAUGGACACACAAAAGGAGGGUCAAAAAAAAUCCACAAAGCUGUGUGUUUGGCUUGAUGAGGACAAAUAUGGUCAACCUCCAAAAAGAUGUAGAGCUGGGGAGAAACGACAGCGAGAUUCAGCCACUGUUUCUUCAGCAAGCGUAACACCCUCCUGUGCUCCGUCUACCAACACAACUGAAGACACUGUGACCAUCGAAAAUGUAGGUUCUUUUUCCCUUAAUACUUGUUUCCUCAUUUGUUAUGUGGUAAUUGCCCAGAUUUACCAUUGCCUUCUUCCUUUUUCAUUUUCAGACUCCCUCAUUCAAGAUGUCCGAGACCUCUUGGGAAGUGGUGCUGAACAACCUCUCCCCUCACACUGGAGGAACAGGCAAACUUCCUCUCUGGAGAAUUGGACAGUGAUGAGGCCCUUAAUGGUGAACAAUAUGUUGUCAUCUGAGAAGCCCAAGGAGGGGGUUUGCCAUCAUCACACAAGGCUGCAGUAGUGAUGUGUAGGGACUGUUUACUGCGAUCACUCUACUGCACAGCCUGUGACCUUUCCACACAUGAGGCCCUGGUGCUUCAUAACAGAGCAUCCAUGGUGGAGGGGUUCUUCAGACACCUGCCGCCAUCCGCUUUUGUUCAGCAGCUUGAGGGAGGGAAAUUCUAUCAUGAAAAAGAUUGCAUGUUACCAAUUGUUCCUCCCUGCUGCGACUGCUCCACCGGGCAAACAAGCUUUUCCAAGGGAAAGCCAGUUAUUUUAAUUGGAAUGAAUGGAAGAUACAACCUCUUCCUUCCAUCAGUAAACUGCUCCUGUGGAAAAACCUUGCCAGUGACCAUAAGUGAUCUGGUUGAAAGUGGUUACUGGCCAGCCACUGUCAAUUUUGAGACCUUGUACAUGGUGGACUUGUUCACCACAUUAGGAUCUAAAAAUCACUGCCCCAGGGAUGUCAAGACAAGCUUUUGUCAGCAUGCUCGAGGGUCGAACAAAACUCUUCAGGCGAGUGAGUGGACUCAUCAUUAAUUAAGUUAUCUUUUUUGGAUCACCUUUUAAAUAACUGAUUCAUUGUUAUGACUUGUUCUUACAAUCCUCAAAGUUUCAGCACACAUUUCUUGACAGAGCCCUUUUUUCGUCAUGACCAUGGUCUGAAGCCAACCUUCGAAACAGUUACUUACUGUUUUGUUUUUUCACUUUUGCUCUCAGAGUGGUAGGAUAUGUGGGGACACAAUGCAGAGGGCCUUCCUUGAAUGGGCCUAUGCCAAAUUUGAGGUUG